rnacentral:tRNA from 1 species
GACCGGCUAGCUCAGCUGGUUAGAGCGUGGUGCUAAUAACGCCAAGGUCUUGGGUUCGAUCCCCACGCUGGUCA